UGAGAAGUUGGUGGUGAGCUGCCUUUGUGAACUGCUGCAAUCCAUUUCAUGUGUCUGAUAUACUGUUAUGACAUUUGUUUUACUGACAUGGUUGAGAUCCUAGCAUUCAGCACAAACUACAGGUGGAUGACCAUAUUGCUCUAUUCAUGUCAUUAACCUCAUACAGAGCCUUCAAAUGUCCUGCAGGAGAUGGUGCAAGACAACAAUGACAACUCCUCAGAGAAGUCACUCAUUCUGAAGGCAGAGCACUCAAAUAGACCAUGCGCCAACUCCGAUGCUCACACUUCAGUGGUAUGGGAUUGAUCGAAGAAUAUUGAUGUUUCAUCUGGUGACUCUUAUUUGAUUUAUUGAUUGAUUGAUUGAUUUAUUGUCACAUAUACCGAAGUACAGUGAAAAGCCUUGUUUAACACGGUACAGGCAUAUCGUUUUAAGCAAAGGAUAUACACAUCAAAAAAGACAUAGAGGCAGAGAUAGUAGGAACUGCUGAUGCUGGAGAAUCUGAGAUAUCAAGGUGUAGAUCUGGAUGAACACAGCAGAAAU